rnacentral:lncRNA from 10 species
UCUGGAAAGAUAUAUGUCAAUAUGUUAGCAUUGAUUUUGGCGAUGAAGACUCUGGAGAUUCAUUUUUACUCUUUCUAUUCUGCAUUUCAUUUUAUUUUUUUUAUUUUUUUCACCAACAAAAAGAGAAGAGGUUGAGGAGGUGGGUGGUCUGAAUACUGUUUUAGAAAGUGUGUGCUUCAUGCUGCAGGCACUGGGGAGCCACUGAAAAUUCUUAAGCAGAAGACCAAGGCAACUAGACACCAGCCAUCAAGAGCUGCUUAUGCGGGAGGCCCUCGGUGACUCACUUGCUCCUACUUCCCUGGGACUAUCUUCCUCAUACCACCUGCAGACCCAGAAGUCAAGCCUGUAGGAUGAAACCUGUCCAUCCACGAGAUGGGAAGCUGCCAGUAAUGAUCGAAGAGGCACAGUCAAUAUCCUCCAGCCAGUCUGCAAGCUCUUCCAGGCAGGAUUCUGCUUCUUUCAUUCUUUUAUCCCCAGCACAGAGUGCAGUCCCUGACACGUAGCAAGCAUCCAGUACAUGGGGAAGUGGAAGUGGGAAAAGAGAAGCAGCAGGACCAACCAGCCAAGUUUUGUGGUAUUAGCACUCUGGAAAAGGAAACUGACUAGGACCUUCAUGUAAUAGUGGGAGCUUGGAGAGGAAGUGAGGAGGGAGGAAAAUACAGCAACCCUUGCAGAAAAGGUGUACCUAACCCAGCUAGGGCAAAAGGGUAAAAGGGGUACUGCAGGCUGCUGCUAAUCAGGGGAAAAUGAGGAAGGUGAACAUUCAGCUGAGGAAAUGGUAGGAGUUUAGCCCGUUCCUGGAAAAGCAAGAAAUGGAGCACGAUACUAAGACCCCAGAAGAGAAAGACCUCCAGCACAGGAGAUUCAGCUGAAGACUCUUUGCUCCUCUGAUGACUGAAAAUGGACCAGGGAGCAUGUGAAAGACUGGCAUUGGAGGAGACUCUCAGCUGGUAUAUGCUAUCUAUACUUUUGGUCUGUUGCUGUCUGUUCACUGAAACUCUUUGCAUACACUCAUCUGAAGGCUGAAGGGAGAUAACACACUGGGUCAGAGAUGUAUUUUCCCCAGCAGAGUAAAUCUCCAACUCCACAGGCAAGAGAUCUGGCCCACUCCAGUCAGAUCACCCACACCCUCUACAAAGCUGCAUUUCUGUGGGCAACCGUGUGAGUCCUUAGUAGAAUUCACAGGAAUAUAUUGCAUUAUUUAAUGUGUUAAUCAUCAAAACUGCACAGAUUCUAUAGAACUUAUUUUAGAAAUACAGAUAAAAUAUGUAUAAGUUAAGAGAAACAAUGUCUGGGAUUUCUUUCAAAAUAAUCUAGCCCAGGGCCCAGGCACGAUAGCUCACACCUGUAACCCCAUCACCUUGGGAGGUCAAGGAGAAAGGAUUGCUUGAGGCCAGACCUGGGAAACAUUGUGAGAGCCUGUCUCUAGGAAAAAUUUAAAAAUGAGCCAAGUGUGGUGGCAUCUGCCUGUAGUCCCACUACUCAGGAGGCUGAGGUGGGAGGAUGGCUUGAGCCUGGUGAGGUCGAGGCUGCAGCAAGCCAUGAUCGUACCACUGCACUCCAGCCUGGGAGACAGAGUGAGACCCUAUCUCAAAUAAUAACAGUAAUCAUCAUCAUCAUCAACAUCAUCUAGACUAGAGAGGAGAAAAGUCAGCAUGCAUUGAUGAAACAAGAUUCGCCAUGUAUUGAUAAUUUUUGAAGCUGGGUGUGGAUACAUCAGGUUUGUUAUAAAGUUCUUCCUACUUUUUUGUAUAUGCUUUACAUUUUUCAUAAUAAAAUGUUAAUAAAAAAUAGUUUUCGCG